rnacentral:rRNA from 1 species
GAUGAACGCUGGCGGUAUGCUUAACACAUGCAAGUCGAACGGUACCUUCGGGUAUAGUGGCGGACGGGUGAGUAACGCGUGAGAAUCUAUCUUCAGGUCGGGGACAACAGUUAGAAAUGACUGCUAAUACCGGAUGUGCCGAAAGGUAAAAGAUUUAUUGCCUGAAAAAGAGCUCGCGUCAGAUUAGCUAGUAGGUGGUGUAAGAGACUACCUAGGCUUCGAUCUGUAGCUGGUCUGAGAGGACGAUCAGCCACACUGGAACUGACACAGGGUCCAGACUCCCGGGGGGGACAAGAGGGGGAAUUUUCCCAAAGGGGGAAAACCCCACCGGGCACAACCCCGGGAGGGGCAAAAGGUCUUUGGUGUCAAAACCCUUUUCUCAAGAGAAAUUUACAGGGGGCUUUAGAGAAAAAAACCGCGUAACUCUGU